AGGAACACUAUUAAUAAAAAAAUUUGUGAAAUAAGAAAUUCAUGUUAAAUCUUAAACUCAAAUUGUUAGGUGCGUAGACUUGGAUCCCACCAUCAUAUACUUUUUAUUUCUGCACAUGUAAAAAGGGUAUAUAUUUAACUCUAACAUGCAAAUAGAAUAUUUUGGUGGGGGGGAAAAUGAAGCAUGGUGCUCCCCCCCCCCAUGUCCUGGUGUUACAGGUGGUUUAAAAACCUGUGUUCUUGUAACUGUACAGCGAUAUAAUACAGUGGUACACCUAGGCCCUUAUUCUGAAGUCAGUGUUUCAUAGAAAUGGUCGUUAAUGUUAAACAUAAAAAUUACCCAGAAUCACAUACAAAACAAAGAAGCACAAGAAGUAUUGUUUUGCUAUUUUUAUUGUAUUUUCAGUCAUAUUUCAUACAAAUUUUCCCUGGUUGUAUGAUCCAUACACCGUCUGUUCAAACAUUUUGAACAUCGAAACAAAAUAAAUCUGAUAAAAUAAUAUUGAUUUCAAAAUCCAAAAAGGCUUGGUUAUGAUAUCUUGAAAUAAGAUUAUACUGGAUAAAAGUGAGUCUUAAUUAUCAUGGUAUACUCAUUUCCAUUAUAUCAAUUGUUCCCGACAUGGAUGUUGUACAUUUCCUGAUACUAGGAAUAGCAUUAUACCACCAUACAUAUAUUGUGCAUAUCUUCAAAUUACUUAUACAUAUGAGCUUAUGAAGCACAUAUCAUAAGUGUUCAGCUAAUCAUUACAGUUAGUUAAAAGACGAAAAAUGGAAUGCUGUCGCAAUGCAAGAAAGACAAAAAUGGCUUCAAAUCAAUAACUAAACUUUAAAUUUCUUUUGAUAAAAUUUUGACUUUCUUGAAUCGUGGAAUGAUACUCAAAUAUUUUUGGAAUAAAUUUCCAUUUCACUUAGCACAAUAGGAUAAUCUAUGAUUACAUAACUAAUGUGCAUCAAUUUGAAUAGUAUUGAUUACAAAUGGGCCAAAAGUAAUUCAUUGGUAUAACUUAGUGCAGGUAAUGAAGUUAAUUUGUCAAUUCCAUUACUAGUAUUAAAGAUAAUUAGGACUGAUGAAAAUUAUCAUCAAUUUGAAUACCUACACAUAUGCGUUAUUUUAAACAUAUGUAACAGCUAUGUGAGAGAUACUGAAUUAGCUCUGUUUACUACUGAUACAUGAUACUUUUGGAAUGCACUGGAAAAGUAUGACACUGUACUUCAAUUGCUGAUUGAAGCAUAUAUGUGCCAGCCCUGAUAAUUACAGUCUUAUACAAACCCAGCAAUUGGGGGGGGGCAUAUUAAACACGAUUUAUAUAUCAUUUAAUUAAACCUC